UACGUAGGGGGCUAGCGUUGUCCGGAAUCAUUGGGCGUAAAGCGCGUGUAGGCGGUCCGGUAAGUCCGCUGUGAAAGUCGGGGGCUCAACCCUCGAAUGCCGGUGGAUACUGUCGGGCUAGAGUGCGGAAGAGGCGAGUGGAAGUUCCUGGUGUAGCGGUGAAAUGACGCAGAUAUCAGGAGGAACACCAAUUGCGAAGGCAGCUCGCUGGGACGUUACUGACGCUGGAGGAGCGAAAGCGUGGGGAGCAAACAGG
rnacentral:rRNA from 1 species